AAUAGAUACCCCGGUAGUCCACGCCCUAAACGAUGUCUACUAGUUGUCGGGGGGUAACUCCUUCGGUAACGCAGCUAACGCGUGAAGUAGACCGCCUGGGGAGUACGGUCGCAAGAUUAAAACUCAAAGGAAUUGACGGGGACCCGCACAAGCGGUGGAUGAUGUGGAUUAAUUCGAUGCAACGCGAAAAAACCUUACCUACCCUUGACAUGCCACUAACGAAGCAGAGAUGCAUUAGGUGCCCGAAAGGGAAAGUGGACACAGGUGCUGCAUGGCUGUCGUCAGCUCGUGUCGUGAGAUGUUGGGUUAAGUCCCGCAACGAGCGCAACCCUUGCCAAUAGUUGCUACGAAAGGGCACUCUAUUGGGACUGCCGGUGACAAACCGGAGGAAGGUGGGAUGACGUCAAGUCCUCAUGGCCCUUAUGGGUAGGGCUUCACACGUCAUACAAUGGCUGGUACAGAGGGUUGCCAAACCCGGCGAGGGGGGGAGCCAAAUCCCACAAAACCAGUCGUAGUCCGGAUUGCAGUCUGCAACUCGACUGCA
rnacentral:rRNA from 1 species